CGUGGGAACCUUCCCUAUGGUACGGAAUAGCUCCGGGAAACUGGAAUUAAUACCGUAUAUGCCCUUCGGGGGAAAGAUUUAUCGCCAUAGGAUGGGCCCGCGUUGGAUUAGCUUGUUGGUGAGGUAAUGGCUCACCAAGGCGACGAUCCAUAGCUGGUCUUAGAGGAUGAUCAGCCACACUGGGACUGAGACACGGCCCAGACUCCUACGGGAGGCAGCAGUGGGGAAUAUUGGACAAUGGGCGAAAGCCUGAUCCAGCCAUGCCGCGUGAGUGACGAAGGCCUUAGGGUUGUAAAGCUCUUUUGGCGGGGACGAUAAUGACGGUACCCGCAGAAUAAGCCCCGGCUAACUUCGUGCCAGCAGCCGCGGUAAUACGAAGGGGGCUAGCGUUGUUCGGAAUCACUGGGCGUAAAGCGCACGUAGGCUGACUGGUCAGUUGGGGGUGAAAUCCCGGGGCUCAACCCCGGAACUGCCUUCAAUACUGCCAGUCUUGAGUCCGAGAGAGGUG
rnacentral:rRNA from 1 species